GCACCGGUAGCUCAGCUGGAUAGAGCACCAGACUACGAAUCUGGGGGCCGGGGGUUCGAAUCCUCCCCGGUGCGCCA
rnacentral:tRNA from 6 species